rnacentral:rRNA from 1 species
GAUGAACGCUGGCGGCGUGCCUAAUACAUGCAAGUCGAGCGAACGGACGAGAAGCUUGCUUCUCUGAUGUUAGCGGCGGACGGGUGAGUAACACGUGGAUAACCUACCUAUAAGACUGGGAUAACUUCGGGAAACCGGAGCUAAUACCGGAUGAUAUUUUGAACCGCAUGGUUCAAAAGUGAAAGACGGUCUUGCUGUCACUUAUAGAUGGAUCCGCGCUGCAUUAGCUAGUUGGUAAGGUAACGGCUUACCAAGGCAACGAUGCAUAGCCGACCUGAGAGGGUGAUCGGCCACACUGGAACUGAGACACGGUCCAGACUCCUACGGGAGGCAGCAGUAGGGAAUCUUCCGCAAUGGGCGAAAGCCUGACGGAGCAACGCCGCGUGAGUGAUGAAGGUCUUCGGAUCGUAAAACUCUGUUAUUAGGGAAGAACAUAUGUGUAAGUAACUGUGCACAUCUUGACGGUACCUAAUCAGAAAGCCACGGCUAACUACGUGCCAGCAGCCGCGGUAAUACGUAGGUGGCAAGCGUUAUCCGGAAUUAUUGGGCGUAAAGCGCGCGUAGGCGGUUUUUUAAGUCUGAUGUGAAAGCCCACGGCUCAACCGUGGAGGGUCAUUGGAAACUGGAAAACUUGAGUGCAGAAGAGGAAAGCGGAAUUCCAUGUGUAGCGGUGAAAUGCGCAGAGAUAUGGAGGAACACCAGUGGCGAAGGCGACUUUCUGGUCUGUAACUGACGCUGAUGUGCGAAAGCGUGGGGAUCAAACAGGAUUAGAUACCCUGGUAGUCCACGCCGUAAACGAUGAGUGCUAAGUGUUAGGGGGUUUCCGCCCCUUAGUGCUGCAGCUAACGCAUUAAGCACUCCGCCUGGGGAGUACGACCGCAAGGUUGAAACUCAAAGGAAUUGACGGGGACCCGCACAAGCGGUGGAGCAUGUGGUUUAAUUCGAAGCAACGCGAAGAACCUUACCAAAUCUUGACAUCCUUUGACAACUCUAGAGAUAGAGCCUUCCCCUUCGGGGGACAAAGUGACAGGUGGUGCAUGGUUGUCGUCAGCUCGUGUCGUGAGAUGUUGGGUUAAGUCCCGCAACGAGCGCAACCCUUAAGCUUAGUUGCCAUCAUUAAGUUGGGCACUCUAAGUUGACUGCCGGUGACAAACCGGAGGAAGGUGGGGAUGACGUCAAAUCAUCAUGCCCCUUAUGAUUUGGGCUACACACGUGCUACAAUGGACAAUACAAAGGGCAGCGAAACCGCGAGGUCAAGCAAAUCCCAUAAAGUUGUUCUCAGUUCGGAUUGUAGUCUGCAACUCGACUACAUGAAGCUGGAAUCGCUAGUAAUCGUAGAUCAGCAUGCUACGGUGAAUACGUUCCCGGGUCU